AUGGGGAGAUAUCUUAGGCUGUUUUCACGAAAAGUCAGGUAUAGAUGCACUGUUUUCUCUCCCGUUCCAUGUGCCUGGACUCCCGGAGGGCUCCUGCCGGACACCGUCUCCCAUCGGCCGAGAGGGAUCCUUCUUGUCUGGGAAGGAUCUGCAACACAGGUAAAAAGAAGAUUCCGGGAAGGAGAUUCUACAGCGGAGCCCUUAAAGCCAGGUGAGACACUCCUUCCAGCCUCCACGGCUGCCUUGCACACACACACACACACACACAUGACACACACGACACACAUACACGUGUACAGCUGGGGUCCACGGGGACUCUUCCCCAAUAGAUCGGGGACUCCCACUCCGGCGAUUGGCCAUUGUAAAUGCCUUGAAGCAGUUUGGGGCUUCCGGCCAAGCGCUUGCAAAGAGAAUCCAUUCAAGGUUGGACCCCCUUUUAAAGGGCCUGGCACGGGGGGACCCCAGAUUAUUAACUUGAGGCCUGGGAAAAGGAGAUUUUUGUAUUUAUUUAUUACAAUAUUUAUAUCCCGCCCUCUCUCCCCUUAAAAGAGCAGCUUACGUUAUAUUUACAUAUUUAUUUAUUACAAUAUUUAUAUCCCGACCUCUCCCCUAAAAUAAAAGGGGACUCAGAGCGGCUUACGAAGUUAUAUUCACAUAUGUAUUUAUUACAAUAUUUAUAUCCCUCCCUCUCUCCUUAAAAAGGGGACUCUGGGCGGCUUAACAAUAAGACGCAUAUAUAAAAGACCCAUACAGUGCAAUAUAAAUCAUCAUUAACUUACAUCAGUAUUCAUAAAACACAUUAUAAAAUACUGAUAGGUGUGUUCAGUUCAAAUCCAUUCAAGGUAUACGUGGACCCCCUUUUAAUGCCUACCUUUCCACGUGGAAAACUCCCAUUUGUAAGGCAAACCCUCGUUAAAGGAGGUUUGCAAUUAAUUUAAAACCAGGCUUCUGAGGGACCCGCUGCGUUUAAAGCCAAACCUAGCAGGUGGGAACCCCUUUGGUUAACGCAAGGUGAGGGACCCUCUAUUUUUAAUAGGAUGCCUGGGAGAAUCUUAACCUAAAUGCAGGCCUAUGGGCUACAGCCUAUUCUGCAUAGCCAGGCAUGGGGGGACCCCAUAUGAUGAAUUCGAAGCCUGGUAAAAGGAGAUUUUAGUAUUUAUUAACUUAUUACAUUUAUAUCCCGCCCUCUCUCCCCUUAAAAGGGGACUCAGAGCGGCUUACGAGUUAUAUUUACAUAUUUAUUUAUUUAUUACAAUAUUUAUAUCCCGCUGUCUCCCCUUAAAGGGGACUCAGACGGCUUACAAGUUAUAUUUACAUAUUUAUUUAUUUAUUACAAUAUUUAUAUCCCGCCCUCUCCCCUUAAAGGGGACUCAGGGCAGCUUAACAAUAAAACGCAUAUAUAAAAACCAUACAGUGCAAUAUAAAUCAUCAUUAACUUACAACAGUAUUCCUAAAACACAUAAAAUACAGAUAGGUGUAUUACAUACACUGUAUCAUUAGCAUUGCACAAUAUUAGCAUUAUAUACUACAUUGCAUUAUACCACUAUACAGAAACAUUAUUAGCAAUAUUACAUUUAAUAUAUAAUAUGUAAUUCAUAUUAUAUUGUAUCAUUGUUAGUAUUAUAUUGCAUUAUUUAUUUAUUUGCUAGAUGUAGAGUCAUCUACAUAAAUAGGCCAGCGAAUAUUUAUUUAUUUAUUUACAGCAUUUUACCGGGCUGGCCUCGAACUCAUGACCUCCUGGUCAGAGUGAUUUGUUGAUAUUUAUUAUUCAUUUACAGCAUUUAUAUUCCGCCCUUCCUUCUCACCCCAAAGGGGACUCAGGGCGGAUCACAUGGCACAUAUAGGCAAACAUUCAAUGCCUUUUAACAUAGAACAAAGACAAACAAACAGGCUCCGAGCGGGCCUCGAACUCGUGACCUCCUGGUCAGAGUGAUUCAUUGCAGUUAAUUGCAGCUGGCUUGCUUUCCAGCCUGCGCUGUUGGAUAAUAAGGAGGCAUUAUGGAAAAGCCUAUUAAACAUCAAAUUAGUUGAUGAUUUUACAAAUUAAGCACCAAAACAUCAUUUGACAGAAAAAGUAGUUCAAUAUGCAGUAAUGCUAUGUAGUAAUUACUGUAUUUACGGAUUUAGCACCAAAAUAUCACGACGCAUUGAAAACAUGGACUACAAAAAUGCGUUGAAUAAUCCAGAAUGUUGGAUAAGAGAGUGUUGGAUGAUUAUACAAUAUAAAUUAGAAUAGCAUGUUAUUGGGGGAGGAGCAUCUUGGUUAUUAGAUGUUUUUAUUAGUUAUUGAUAUUAGUAUAGAUAUGACAUUGAGUAUAUAUUAUCCUAGCACAAUGUUAAUAUUAGUUAUUCAUAUUAGUCUCAAUAUGACAUUAAUAGAGUACAUUAUUAUCCUAGCACAAUGUUAUUAGAUGUUAAUAUUAGUUAUUGAUAUUAGUCUCCAUAUGACAUUAAUAGAGUAUAUUAUUAUUCUAGCACAAUGUUAUUACAUAGGACCAUGUUGUUGCUAGGGGGAGGGCCCCCCCACUGAUUGUAUUAUUAGUAUUAUGUUGUUGCUAGGGGGAGGGCCCCCCAACUGAGAUCCCCUGUCAUUAAUGUGUCAGACCAGGCAUUUCACUCCUACCUUUGCAUCAGAAAGCAGGCUCCCUGUGCGCUAGGCCUUCCUUUGAGGAACACAUUCACAGCUCCGCUUGAGUGUGGCACUGAGGCCCCACUCAGGGACGGGCGGGUCCUCCCUUUGCCCUGGGCAGAUCGUGGGGGGUGGGCGGAUCUCCAUAGACGGGCAGGGGGUCGCGGCUGGCGGGACAGCGGGAUAUAAAAAUAUAAAUAUAUAUAUAAAAACCCUUGCAUCCAAGGAAACAACUCUGGGGACCCGAGCGGCUGCUCCCAGCUCACGUCACGGGCAUUUUAAACAUCUCGUAGCAGCUCAGAUUAAUACCUGAACUAACCUUAACCUGCUAACCCUACUAACCCAUUUCUAACUAGAGCAGGAAUUUUAAAUAGGGCUGUUUUUGCCUGUUGGCAAGAACCAAGCUGGGAGGGGGCUCCGGGCCUCGGGUGGGAAGAACCCUAACCCUGUCCCUGCCCUGCGCUGGGAGCGCCCCCCUCGGGACCCCAGUGUUUGGUCCCCGCUCUCCCCCAAUCCGACGGCCUAGAAAG
rnacentral:lncRNA from 11 species